rnacentral:rRNA from 1 species
CCCACCUGACUCCAUCCCGAACUCAGAAGUGAAACGAAACAGCGUCGAUGGUAGUGUGGGGUUUCCCCAUGUGAGAGUAGAACAUCGCCAGGC